AGUCCUGUAGCUCAGUGGUUAGGGCACUCGUCUCGUAAGCGAGACCUGGGUUCGAUUCCCAGCAGGACAA